rnacentral:rRNA from 1 species
AUUGAACGCUGGCGGCAUGCCUUACACAUGCAAGUCGAACGGCAGCACAGGAGAGCUUGCUCUCUGGGUGGCGAGUGGCGGACGGGUGAGGAAUACAUCGGAAUCUACCUUUUCGUGGGGGAUAACGUAGGGAAACUUACGCUAAUACCGCAUACGACCUACGGGUGAAAGUGGGGGACCGCAAGGCCUCACGCGAUUAGAUGAGCCGAUGUCCGAUUAGCUAGUUGGCGGGGUAAUGGCCCACCAAGGCGACGAUCGGUAGCUGGUCUGAGAGGAUGAGCAGCCACACUGGAACUGAGACACGGUCCAGACUCCUACGGGAGGCAGCAGUGGGGAAUAUUGGACAAUGGGCGCAAGCCUGAUCCAGCCAUACCGCGUGGGUGAAGAAGGCCUUCGGGUUGUAAAGCCCUUUUGUUGGGAAAGAAAUCCUGUCGAUUAAUACUCGGUGGGGAUGACGGUACCCAAAGAAUAAGCACCGGCUAACUUCGUGCCAGCAGCCGCCGUAACAC